UAAAGGUGGAAAGAAGGGUGGUGGCAAGAAGAAGGGUGGCUCCUUCUAGACAGUGUCAGCUCUUUUCAGGGAAAACUUGGGCAAGCUGAUGACCAACUUAAGGAGCACUCAUCCACACUUUGUGCGCUGUUUGAUUCCAAAUGAAUCAAAAACACCAGGUCUCAUGCAGAACUUCCUGGUCAUCCACCAGCUGAGGUGUAAUGGUGUGCUGGAAGAUAUCAGGAUCUGCAGGUAAAGUUUUCCCAGCAGAAUCCUCUACGGUGACUUCAAGCAAAGAUAUAAAGUAUUGAAUGCUAGUGUCAUCCCUGAGGGACAGUUCAUUGACAACAAGAAGGCCUCAGAGAAACUACUUGGAUCCAUAAGUGUCGACAAAUCCCAGUACAGAUUUGGGCUUACCAAGGUAUUCUUCAAGGCUGGACUACUGGGUAUGCUUGAGGAGAUGAGAGAUGAGAAAUUGGUUGAAUUGGUCACAAUGACUCAGUCCGUUUGCAGAGGUUUCCUGAUGAGACGAGAAUUUGUCAAAAUGAUGCGG